rnacentral:misc_RNA from 1 species
GAUGAAGAACGUAGCGAAAUGCGAUAAGUAAUGUGAAUUGCAGAAUUCAGUGAAUCAUCGAAUCUUUGAACGCACAUUGCGCCCAUUAGCAUUCUAGUGGGCAUGCCUGUUCGAGCGUCAUUUCAACCCUUAAGCCCUGUUGCUUAGCGUUGGGAGCCUACAGUACUGUAGCUCCCCAAAGUUAGUGGCGGAGUCGGUUUCACACUCUAGACGUAGUAAAUUUUUCUCGUCUGUAGUUGAGCCGGUCCCCUGCCGUAAAACACCCAAUUUAUCAAGGUUGACCUCGGAUCAGGUAGGGAUACCCGCUGAACUUAAGCAUAUCAAUAAGCGGAGGA